AGAGUUUGAUCCUGGCUCAGGAUGAACGCUAGCGGCAGGCUUAAUACAUGCAAGUCGUGGGGCAGCAUGGUGUAGCAAUACACUGAUGGCGACCGGCAAACGGGUGCGGAACACGUACGCAACCUUCCUUUAACUGGAGAAUAGCCCGGGGAAACCCGGAUUAAUACUCCGUAACAUUAUGAGGUGGCAUCACUUUAUAAUUAUAGCUCCGGCGGUUGAAGAUGGGCGUGCGUCUGAUUAGGUAGUUGGCGGGGUAACGGCCCACCAAGCCUACGAUCAGUAACUGGUGUGAGAGCACGACCAGUCACACGGGCACUGAGACACGGGCCCGACUCCUACGGGAGGCAGCAGUAAGGAAUAUUGGUCAAUGGACGCAAGUCUGAACCAGCCAUGCCGCGUGGAGGAUGAAGGUCCUCUGGAUUGUAAACUUCUUUUAUUUGGGAAGAAACCCCCGAUUUCUAUUGGGGUUGACGGUACCAGAUGAAUAAGCACCGGCUAACUCCGUGCCAGCAGCCGCGGUAAUACGGAGGGUGCAAGCGUUAUCCGGAUUCACUGGGUUUAAAGGGUGCGUAGGCGGGUUGGUAAGUCCGUGGUGAAAUCUCCAAGCUUAACUUGGAAACUGCCGUGGAUACUAUCAAUCUUGAAUAUAGUGGAGGUGAGCGGAAUAUGUCAUGUAGCGGUGAAAUGCUUAGAUAUGACAUAGAACACCCAUUGCGAAGGCAGCUCGCUACACUAUUAUUGACGCUGNNNCACGAAAGCGUNNNGAUCAA
rnacentral:rRNA from 1 species